ACUUAAAUAAUUUAAUAGAAAAUAUUGAUCUGUGGAGUCAAAAAUAUGAGCAUUCAUUUUAGGUU
rnacentral:tRNA from 1 species